AGCGAUCCUACUUCAACGACCUUCUCGUAAUACGUAAAAAAAGUAUCCCGAUCCUGUAGGAGUGACAGCCGUAGUGGAGAUCGAUGAAGAUCUUUAUUCUUAAAAGAAAGGGCAAGCACCGAAACACAGGAAUGAUCAAAGAGAGGCCUCAGCUGACGCUAAUAAAGCCAAAGAGCAAGAAGGAGGUGAUGAUGUGAUUCCUUAUGUACCUGUGUCUGUGUCGCUUGACAAGUAUACCUAUUAAUCAGUUGACCUCUCUCUAUUUGUGUUUUCUUCUAGGUCGGCUGACCCUGGUCUUCUUUGAGUUUAUGAUAUUCCCCGCUCGUCCGAGCUUUUGUAGGCCGAAGCAAAUGCUUAGAUGAGAAGAAGUCAGAGCAAAAGUCAAAACAAGAAGGACAAAGAAGUCUCUUCCACUCCUCUAGAGGUUGAGGAUGAGGAAGUGAUG
rnacentral:lncRNA from 1 species